rnacentral:rRNA from 1 species
UGCAGUCGACGGCAGCACAGUAGAGCUUGCUCUAUGGGUGGCGAGUGGCGGACGGGUGAGUAAUGCAUCGGGAUCUACCCAAACGUGGGGGAUAACGUAGGGAAACUUACGCUAAUACCGCAUACGUCCUAUGGGAGAAAGCGGGGGAUCGCAAGACCUCGCGCGGUUGGACGAACCGAUGUGCGAUUAGCUAGUUGGUAGGGUAAUGGCCUACCAAGGCGACGAUCGCUAGCUGGUCUGAGAGGAUGGUCAGCCACACUGGAACUGAGACACGGUCCAGACUCCUACGGGAGGCAGCAGUGGGGAAUAUUGGACAAUGGGCGCAAGCCUGAUCCAGCAAUGCCGCGUGUGUGAAGAAGGCCUUCGGGUUGUAAAGCACUUUUAUCAGGAGCGAAAUGCCAUUGGUUAAUACCCGGUGGAGCUGACGGUACCUGAGGAAUAAGCACCGGCUAACUUCGUGCCAGCAGCCGCGGUAAUACGAAGGGUGCAAGCGUUAAUCGGAAUUACUGGGCGUAAAGCGUGCGUAGGCGGUGACUUAAGUCUGUUGUGAAAUCCCCGGGCUCAACCUGGGAAUGGCAAUGGAUACUGGGUCGCUAGAGUGUGAUAGAGGAUGGUGGAAUUCCCGGUGUAGCGGUGAAAUGCGUAGAGAUCGGGAGGAACAUCAGUGGCGAAGGCGGCCAUCUGGAUCAACACUGACGCUGAGGCACGAAAGCGUGGGGAGCAAACAGGAUUAGAUACCCUGGUAGUCCACGCCCUAAACGAUGCGAACUGGAUGUUGGUCUCAACUCGGAGAUCAGUGUCGAAGCUAACGCGUUUAAGUUCGCCGCCUGGGGAGUACGGUCGCAAGACU